AGAAGCUUCACUGGAAGUGUCUACGAGGCGCUGCAGGAACCUGGAGGAAGCCAACCUGGGCUUGGAAAAGGAAUUGGGAGAGGCUAAAUCCAAGUGGCAGGGUCUGGAAAAGCA